GGGCCUGUGGUGUAAUGGUAGCACGUCGGGCAAGGACUAAUAACCCUAGCUGGAAGCGUUGGUUCGAUUCCUUCCGGGUCCA
rnacentral:tRNA from 1 species